GCGUGAGCCAUGAUGCCUAGCCCCAACUAAUUUUUAAGUAGCUUUUUUUUUUAAGUGUUUUAGUUUUGAGAAUCUCAUAGGUUAACAUGUUUACAACAGUCUCUGUCUUGCCUUCUAAAUCAGCCUCUUCUAUUCCAGUUCAGGAAUGGUCAGCCACACCAGAAAUCUGAGAGUCACCUGAUGUUCCCACUCACCUCUCCCUCCACCUCCAGCUCAUCACCCAGCCUCACAGGCCCAGCUGGUCCCACUCUGCUGCUGUGCUCUACGCAUUUUAUCACAAUUGGGUGACAUACUUGAAUAUAGCAAUUAUGAGAACAGCAACCUCAGAAGAAUACCUGGCAUCCAGACCACCCCAACCCAUUUCCAUAAGCCCAGCCUGACUCCCGGAGAUUGUGAAUAGCUUCAUCCAGCCUGAGAAAGAAGCCAGGAGGCUGAGCCAGGCUGUGCUCAACGUGCCUGACAGGCCCAACAGACCCAUGCUGCAUCCGGAGCCCUCCCCUGGCGGGGGGAGCCUCCUGCCUGUGCUCCUGGCCCUCCUUGGCACCACCUGGGCCGAGAUGUGGCCGCCCCAGCUGCAGGAGCAGGCUCUGCUGCCCGGAGCCCUGAAUAGGAAGGAAAGUUUCCUGCUCCUCUCCCUGCACAACCGUCUAGGC